UUUAUUCAAUGACAGGGUAUUCAUUGUCCCAGGUCAAGUAGCUGUGAGGCCCAGAGUUGUAGAGUGUACCCUGCUGCCCGGAGACAGGACUGAGAAAGAACCGUCCAUACGCACCAGCAGUCCUCUCCCAUCUCCUCUCCCUCAGCCCCUGGACGUCACCAAUCUGCUGUCUCUGUGGGGUGGCCCAAUCUGGAUAUCUCCUACAAACGGAAUCAUACACUUUGAGACCCUCAGAGAACUUCCAGAGCCAGGAUCUCACUUAGCACCUGCGAAAGCCUGGAUAAUACUCAUGAAGGCGAAAGGCAUCUCUAGUUUUACUAUGAGAAAACUAAGUCUUAGAAAGGAAACUGCCUGCCCAUGGUCACACAGGUUGCUAUGGUCGCCUGGAUUCAAACCUAGAUCUUCUGGCACAGGUAUUUUGGAAAUGCUGUUUGCCUUGGAUUUGAACCUGUGAUAUAGGUUACUAUGUGGCUCAGAGUAAAGGAGGCAAGAGAAGAAAUGGGCUGAAAUGACCCAAUCUCUGGUCUUGAUCUGCACCACGCUGACCCUGACCUUCAAAGUAGAAGUAGGACCACUACCAAUAAUCACAACCCCCAAGAACUUACCAUGAGGUGAUUUGUCUUAUGUAACACAUCCCUGAA